rnacentral:rRNA from 1 species
AGAACGAACGCUGGCGGCAGGCCUAACACAUGCAAGUCGAACGCUCGUAGCAAUACGAGAGUGGCAGACGGGUGAGUAACACGUGGGAACCUUCCCUAUGGUUCGGAAUAGCUCAGGGAAACUUGGGGUAAUACCGGAUAAGCCCUUCGGGGGAAAGAUUUAUCGCCAUUGGAUGGGCCCGCGUCGGAUUAGCUAGUUGGUGAGGUAACGGCUCACCAAGGCAACGAUCCGUAGCUGGUCUGAGAGGAUGAUCAGCCACACUGGGACUGAGACACGGCCCAGACUCCUACGGGAGGCAGCAGUGGGGAAUAUUGGACAAUGGGCGCAAGCCUGAUCCAGCCAUGCCGCGUGAGUGACGAAGGUCUUCGGAUUGUAAACUCUUUUGGCGGGGACGAUAAUGACGGUACCGCAGAAUAAGCCCGGCUAACUUCGUGCCAGCAGCCGC